AGUGAACGCUGGCGGUAGGCCUAACACAUGCAAGUCGAACGGCAGCACAGUAAGAGCUUGCUCUUACGGGUGGCGAGUGGCGGACGGGUGAGGAAUACAUCGGAAUCUACUUUUUCGUGGGGGAUAACGUAGGGAAACUUGCGCUAAUACCGCAUACGACCUACGGGUGAAAGCAGGGGAUCUUCGGACCUUGCGCGAUUGAAUGAGCCGAUGUCGGAUUAGCUAGUUGGCGGGGUAAAGGCCCACCAAGGCGACGAUCCGUAGCUGGUCUGAGAGGAUGAUCAGCCACACUGGAACUGAGACACGGUCCAGACUCCUACGGGAGGCAGCAGUGGGGAAUAUUGGACAAUGGGCGCAAGCCUGAUCCAGCCAUACCGCGUGGGUGAAGAAGGCCUUCGGGUUGUAAAGCCCUCUUGUUGAGAAAGAAAAGCAGCAGGUUAAUACCCCGCUGUUCUGACGGUACCCAAAGAAUAAGCACCGGCUAACUUCGUG
rnacentral:rRNA from 1 species